UCACAUUUCAGCCACUUGUGCCUCUGCCAAGGACGCUGCGAUCCGAGCCCGGGGGAGGGGAUCCUGCUAAGGAAACGGCAUUUUCCUUCCUGAAAACAGGAGGCAAGCAGGCCUGCCGAGCCUCCGCAGGACUGAGGGCAGCACGAGCCACCAGGCCAAGGAAGGUCCCUUCCCACCCCGAGGGUCAGUCCGGAGCGCGAGGUGGCCCUGGCCCCAGGUUUUCUGGAGGAGUGGCCGGGACACAGCCGGGCUCUGGCAGGGCCGUGCGCACGCGCGUGCACACGUGGGAGGGCCUGACGGGCCACCCGUCCCCCGGCUGCCACCUCACAGGCUGUGCUGCUGCUCCAUGCACCUGGAUGGCAGUUAGCAACGGAGGCCCUUUCGUCUCACGUUAAAGCCACAAUCAGGUCAGUGCAAGACGACCUUCUCCAGCUUUCUAGAAUGUUGUCUUCAGAGAUGAGAGAGAACCCCCGGUGUGACUCGAGGCAGCUGAUUGCUGGCAGCAUCUGUCAGACGGGAGCUGAGAAACGCAGCUCUUCCCCAGAGCAGAGGCCGGCCGGCCCCAGGGUUUUAAAGCUCCCCAGGGCAGUCUAACAGCCAGCCAAGCGUAAGAUCCCAGCUGGUGAAGACCCCACUAUCAAUUCUCACACAAGAAUAAAGCUAAAAGAUAAAUCGGUGCAGGUAUUGUGAAGAUCAGUAUGGAGGCUCCAAAAAGUUAAAAAUAGAACUACUGUAUGACCCAGCAGCCCACUUCUGGGUGUAUAUUCAAAGGAAAUGAACCAGUACCAUGUUCAGUGCGGCAUUACUCGUGAGAGCCCAGGUACAGAGCCACCGCGGUGUCUGCCCGCAGGUGAAUGGAUAAAGACAAGUUACGUAUACACGUGUGUGCGUGCGCACGCACACACGCACACACAGGAACACCAUUCAACCGCAAAGAGAAGGAAAUCCCGCCACUUGUGAACACAUGGAUGACCCGGGAGGACAUUACGCUAAGUGAAACAAGCCAGACAUAAAAGACGAAUAUUGCAUGGUUCACUUACAUGUAGAAUUAAAAAAAACCCCAAACUCAUAGUAAUAGAGCAGAAUGAAUGGUUGUUGCCAGGUAGAGGAGGGAGGUGGAUGUCGAUCAAACGGCACAAACUAUGACUGAAAAGAUAAGUAAGUUCUGAGCCUGAAGGUGCUCCAUCUAAUGGUGACUACAGUUCCUAACAGUAUAUGGUUUACCUGAAAUUUGCUGAGAAUGACCCUUAAGGGUUCUCCCCACACACACGAAGGUGACUGUAAGAGGGUGAGCAUUUCAAUCAGCGUGACUGUGAAUGGAUAAAGACAACGUUAUGUACAUACGUGCGUGCGUAUCAGCGCACAGGGCACAUGUAUAUCGAAACACCAUGUUGCGCACUUCAAUAUACACAAUUUUUAUUUGCAAAUCAAACCUCAGUAAAGCUGGGGGUGGGGGGGAGUCAAAAAAACAAAAAGUCACAGCCAUGGCCAACGAACACAGAGGGAAGAUGAAAGCAGAUGUCUGUCUGUCUGAGAAACCUCAGCCCACCCCCUCCCCGGGCUAGCAGCCCUCCGCGGGGCUGUGAACGGGCACAGAGGGACUAGGGCGCUCCUCACCACGCCGCAGUCAGCUCCCUACGUGGCGUUCACGCUGGAUGCCUCGGGCCUUGUCUCCUUCAAAGACAAGGGUUUUCUUUUAAGUUUUCCUGCUGAAUCCAUUCAGAAAAGCUCCCAGCUCUAGAAUUGGAAAGGAAGCCAUGCUGUUUUUUUUUUUUUCUUUUAGGGGAAGAGAGAACUAGGUUUAUUUGUCUACUUAUUUUUUAAGCUGAGGCACUGGGGACUGACCCCGAACCUUGUGCCUGCUAUGCAGGCACUCUUACCACUGAGCUCUCUCUUCACCCUGUUUUUUUUAAUGUGGUUAAAUAUACACAACAUAAAAUUUGCCAUUUGAGCCACUUUUAAGUGUCCACUUCUGUGGAUUAAAUACAGUCACACUUCUAUGCAACCAUCACCACCACCCACCUCAACGUUUUCAUCUUCCCAAAGUGAAACUCUGUCCCCACUAAACACUAGCUCCUCACUCCCCCCACCCC